AAAAUAUUACAAUAGGAAAGUACCAAUUUAGUUUUAAACUAAUCUAAUGAAAUUAGAAAGGAAAAUCUCAAGGUUUAACCCUAUUAUUAUUAUUAUAUUAUUAUUAUUAUUAUUAUUAUUAUUAUUAUUAUUAUCAUUAUAAUUAACAUUAUUACUAUUAUUAGUAUUAUUAUUAUUCAUUAAGAAUUUUCUAAAACUUACAUUACCUAUUUCUACUUUGUUCGCUAUUUCGGGCUCCGACUAAUUGAUAUUCCAUACACUACUACAAAUUAUAACAAUUCGGAUAGCACCUAAUUAUUUUAUCUUUCUUAACCAUUUUAUUCUUCAGUCCAAAAUCCCUUAGAAAUUAAUCACAUUUGUCCAACGGCUCUUCUUUCUUUUUUUCUUUUUAAAUCUUGACCAAAUAAUUAAUUAUUCUAGCCCAACUGUAAAGUCCAUAUACUAGCCCAUAAUCUUUGGGCAAAAGGAAAUUUUCCCAACUCAAAUUAAAUUAGAGGCCCAAUAGAUCAAUCAACAAAAGAGCAGCCCCAAAUUCUAAUUUUAAUUAACUCAUGUACUCCAUCCACUGUCGGUUUCUCUCUCUAUCAACACUAUUCAAUCUCCUUCCCCAAAUUGCACAAAAAUUAGGGAAAAUCUCUCUCUUCUUUCCGUCGACCAGCCACCCUACCAGCGCUGCCUCCUCUUCCGUCUCCAUCUCCGUCUCCGGUGGUGUUUCCCUCCUCCCCCUCAUCUCUCUCUCUCUCUCUCUCUCUCUCUCUCUCUCUCUCUCUCUCUUCUCUCUCUCUUCACCGUACGCUGCCGCCCUCUCUCUCUCUCUCUCUCUCACGGACUACUCCACCACCGCCGCCGUGCGAAGCACAAACACCGCCGUAUCUCCAGAUCUUCCUCCGUUCAAGUCAACCGCCGCCGCCACUGUGCAUGCACAGGCGGCGGCUUUGGCUUCUCCGAGCCUCGCACCGCCGGCCGCAGCCGCAGCCUAGACCUCUCCCACGCCGCCGACGCCGAUUUUCGACAGAUUUUUAAAGGAAUGAAAGUUGUGACUUUCGGAGCGUUGGUUGUCGAUUGUCGGCGACGGAGUGCCGAGCUUGCUGUCGGAAUCCGGCAGAUUCAUAGGAUAAGUUUUUCUCCUUCUUUCUAGUUAUUAAGGCAGUAGGAUUCUACUUGGUUUCUAUUUACUGAAUUUGGUGAAUUAUGAGUAUAUGCCUUGCUAUAUGGAUGAUUUAAUGGUGAAAUAUACUAUAUUGUUAACUUGGGGUGGGCAGAUUCUAUUUCCAAAUAUAUGCAGACUUGUACAUAUAUGAAUGAAAGGAAAUGUUUGUUGUUUACCUUGUUGAUGCAGAAAGUAAAGUGUUGGGUUGUAAUGUUUGAGUUGUGCAAUCUCCUUCGGACUCCUCUAGCUUUUGUGGGUUGGUUUGUGCAGAGAAAAUAGAUUGUGUGGUGAUGAUGUGGGGGUGAAUAAAAGAAAUGAUUGUAUAUCUAUAUGCGUACUCACCAAGGCGGUGAAAGUGACGUAGCAAGUUGCCUAACAAAAUUUUAUCUCAAUCUUCUCCUUUGUCACAGGAAGAUAUGAUUGCCUGCUAAACAUUUAAUGCAGUAAUAAAUGCUUUGUCGGAAGAAUAAUUGAUCCAUAGGAUCUGCCUUAUCCGUUCUUUUCUUUUGUUUAUUUUAUUUGUUUAUUAAAUUAAUUAUUUGAGUAUUUGUUCACUUGUUCGUUUAAUUUGGUGUAGGUAUAAUCGGUUCAAGUUCGUGGCUGCCCGCGCUGAAGUACCCGAUUUGCUUAGAACAUAGGAUGUAUUAAAUUUUGUUGGAAUUUUGUUGGAUGUAUUGGACAUCAAGAUUUUGAAUUUUGGGAUCUUAUUUAUUUAUUUAUUUAAAUUUAUUA